GGAGACAUUGAUUAAAACUUACACUGACAAACGCGUGACGGAAGAAGGAAUAUCUUCUUCAGACUUUAAAGCAACAGAUAUAUGUCUUUCAUGCACUCGGGUAACCACACCCUCCACUGAGAUAUCUGUUUCGUUGGGACGUUUUUUUUUGGAGGAUUGAAAAUCCUGUCGAAUACUGACAACAUCACCAGGUGAAAAAGAGUUUGCUGGUAAUUCUUCACCAUUGGAGAACGCUGGAUCUUUUUCAAAAUCAAUGAUUCUACAAAUUAAAUGAGUUAAAAAAGAGUCAUUAUGUCGUUUCGAAUGCUUAAAUGUACGUUUUACCACCAAAUCCAGUUUUUACAACUCCGAUUCUAAGGUUGAUAAGUGCUAAUCCUUUUCUUUGUAAUACGGACAACGGAAAGCGUUUUAUAGACUUUUCUGUCUCAUCAACUUCGGAUUUUUGAGCUUCAUCCACAAAUUCAAUUUCCCUAUCCCCAAAUUUUUGUAUCUGACCAUUAUUAAUUAAU